rnacentral:lncRNA from 10 species
UCAUGGGCUUGAUACCCAGCAGAAGGCAAAUGCAAGUUCACAGAUUUCAUUUGGUCAUUUAAUACGACGUGAAAACCAACUAUUAUUUACUGGUGAGCUUGCUUUCUUACUUUUUGGGAUGAGAAUUGGAUCGUCCUCUCACAGCUCACAUUUCUACCUCAUAAUCCACUGAAAAAAUCCGUGCAAAUACAUGCCUGCUUCCCCGUCACCAUCAUCUUAACAUCUGGCAUGAUGUUAAGUUUUCUGAGGCCUCCCCAGAAGCAAAACCUAUACAGCCUGAGGAACUGUGUUUCAAUUGAACCUGUUUUCUUUAUGAAUUACCCAGUCUCAGGUAUGUCUUUAUAGCAGUGUGUGAAUAAACUAAUACAGAAAAUUUGUACCAGAAAAGUGGAGCAUUGUUAUAAAGACACCUGAAAAUGUGGAGGCGAAUUUGAACUGGAUAAUGGGAAGAGGUUGGAACAAUCUGAAGGGCUCAAAAAAAGACAGGAAGAUGAGGGAAAGCUUGGAACUUCCUAGAUACUUGUUAAAUUGUUGUGAUCAAAAUGCUGAUAGUGAUAUGGACAGUGAAGUCCAGGCUGAGGAAGUCUCAGAUACAGAUGAGAAACAUUGAGAACUAGAGUAAAGGCUAGUCUUGCUAUGCUUUAACAAAGGGACAGGUGGCAUUCUGCCCCUGCUCUAAAGAUCUGUGGAAAUUUGAACUUGAGAGAGAUGAUUUAGGGUAUCUAGUGGAAGAAAUAUCCAAGCAGCAAAGUGUUCAAGUUGCAGCCUGGCUACUUCUAAAAGUCUAAGCUCAUCUGGAAAAACAAAGAAAUGACCUGAACCUGCAACUUAUACUUAAAAGGGAAAUAGAGCAUAAAAGUUUAGAAAAUUAGCAAUUUGCAGCCCAGCCAUGUGGUAGAAACGGCAGACCCAUUUUGGGGGAAGAAAUUCAAGCUGGCUGCAGAAAUUUGCACAAGUAAAAAGGAGCUGAAUGUUAAUAGCCAAGACAACGGACAAAAUGCCUCAAGGCAUUUCAAAGACCUUUGCAGCAGCCCUUCUCAUCAAGACCUGGAGGCCUAGGAGGAAAAAUUGGUUUCAUGGGUCAGGCCUAGAGCCUAGCUGCUCUAUACAGCCAUGGGACAUGGCACCCUGCAUCACGGCUGCUCCAGCUCCAGCCGAAGCUAAAAGGGGUUAAGAUACAGCUUAGGCCAUUGGUUCCAAGGGUGAAAGUCCUAUGACUUGGUGGCUUCCAUGUGGUGUUGGGCCUGACGCUGUGCAGAGGACAAGAGUUGAUGCUUCAGAGCCUCCAUCUAGAUUUCAGAGGGUGUAUGAGAACACCUGGAUGUCUGCUGCAGCUAUGGAGACAUCAUGGAGACCCUCUACUAGGGCAGUGCAAAGGGGAAAUGUGGAGUUUGAGCCCCCACAUAGAGUACUCACUGGGGCACUCCCUAGUGGGGCUGUGAGAAGUGGGUUACUAUCCUUCAGCUCUUAGAAUGGUAGAUUCACCAACAGCUUGCACUGUGAGCCUGGAAAAGCUGCAGGAACUCAAUACCAGCCUGUGAAAGCAGCUGUGGGGGCUGUACCCUGCAGAACCACAGGGGUAGAGCUGCCCAAGGCCUUGGGGGCCCACCGCUUGAAUCAGCAUACCCUGGAUGUGAGACAUGGAGUCAAAGGAGAUUAGUUUGAAGCUUUAAGAUUUAAUGACUGCCCUGCUGGGUUUCAGACUUGCAUGGGGCCUGUAGCCCCUUCUUUUUGGACAAUUUAUGCCUUUUAAAAUGGGAACAUUUACCUAAUGCAUGUGCCUCAUUGUAUCUGGGAAGUGACUAACUUGUUUUUUAUUUUACAGGAUCAUAGACAGAAGUGUCUUGCCUUGUCUCAGAUGAGACUUUGGACUGUGGACUUUUGAGUUAAUGCUGGAAUAAGUUAAGACUUUUGGGACUGGUGGGAAGGAAUGAUUGUGUUUUGAAAUAUGAAAAUGACACAAGAUUUGGGAGGGGCCAGGGGCAGAAUGAUAUGGCUUGUUUCUGUGUCCCCACCUAAAUCUCAUGUUGAAUCGUAUUCACCAGUGUUGGAGAUGGGAUCUGGCAGGAGGUCAUUGAAUCAUGAGACAAACUUCCCCUUUGCUGUUCUUAUGGUAUACUUCUCAUGAGAUCUAGUUAUUUGAAAGUGCACAGCACCUCCCCCUUCACUCUCUCUCUGUCUCUCUCCUGCCAGGCAUGUGAAGAUUUACCUGCUUUCCCUUCACCUUCUGGCAUAAUUGCAAGUUUCCUGAGGCCUCCCCAGAAGCAGAGCCCUGUACAACCCGUGGAACUGUGAAUCAAUUAAACCUCUUUUCUUUAUGAAUUACUCAGUCCUAGGUAUGUCUUUAUAGCAGUGUGAGAACAGACUAAUGCAAUGGCUUACACUACAGUACAGUGAAAAUUAAAUAAACAAAUAAUUAUAAUAAAACUCAGGCCAUAGUAGAAGUAAGUUGAACGCCUAGAGAGAGAAGGCUGUAAAUAUAUUUGUCUAAUAAUAUGAUUUGGCUCUGCCCCCACCCAGAUCUCAUCUUGAAUUAUAGCUCCCAUAAUACCCACAUGUUGUGGUAGGGACCCAGUGGCAGGUAAUUGAAUCAUGUGUGUUUUUCCUGUGCUGUUCUCGUGAUAGUUAAUAAAUCUCAUAAUAUCUGAUGGUUUUAUAAAGGGUAGUUCCCCUGCACACUCUUUUGCCUGAAACCAUGUAAAAUGUGCGUUUGCUCCUCCUUUGCCUUCCGCCAUGAUUGUAAGGCCUCCACAGCCAUAUAGAACUGUGAGUCCA